rnacentral:lncRNA from 1 species
UUGUUCAUAGUAGGGUGAUUGAUCUAAAGCUACAACCCAAACCAAUACCGCAACCUGAACCAAAGCCUGCACCACAACCAGACCCAAAGCCAGAACCCAAGCCAACACCGCAGCCUGACCCAAAACCCACACCACAACCAGACCCAAAGCCAGAACCCAAGCCGGCACCACAGCCUGAACCAAAGCCCGCACCACAACCAGAUCCAAAGCCAGAACCUAAACCGACACCGCAACCAAAACCAAAACCUACACCACAACCAGACCCACAACCAGAACCAAAACCCACACCACAACCAGACCCAAAACCGGAACCUAAACCCACACCACAACCAGAUCCAAAGCCCGAGCCAAAACCAACACCACAGCCACCCUCCUCGCAACCUGAACCAAAGCCCGAGCCUGAGCCAAGCCCCAAACCUACGCCAGAACCUAAACCUCAGCUGGAGCCUCAACCAAGCCCAAAACCCCAACCUGAACCAUCCAAGCCAGAGCCCCAGCCAAGGCCCAAACCUACACCAGAGCCAAAAC